UGCUGGGCACCAUGGCCAGGCCAGUGGCGGGUGGCAGAGCUGCAGGGCCGUGGGGGACUGCAGGACCCGCGGCCUCCUCUGCCCCAGGCGGCUGCUGGUGGCAAUGGCCGGGUUCCCUGGGGACUGGCAGAAGCUCUCUGUUUUUUCAGUUUUUAGCUUUACCUUUAUUUUGUGUAUUUAUUUAUGUGGAGCUGAGGGUGGAACCCAGGGCCUCACCGUGCCAGGCCUGCCCUGCCCCAGCCCAGCCCCCAGAACGGCAGGAUGCAGCGCUGUCCCCUGAGGGUGGCCGUGGCCCUCACUUGGCGACAGCCGGGUGACCUGAGGCUGCCCCAGAAAGACUGACUCAGCAUGGAGACCCCGGCCCUCCAAGCCUCAGAGGAGUCCAGCAGCCGGCCUGGUGCUGCUGGGGACAGAGGUGAGGUCAGGGUGGGCGCUCCUUGGCCGCCGUCCCCCACGGCUGCCACCUGCCAUGGCUCUCUGGCCACAUCCUGGCCCCGCAGGUGCUGAGCAGCGACCCUGCUCCCCCCAGGCCAGGGGUCCCUCCUCCAGCCAUGGCCACCACAAACGUCUCCACCUGCGAGUGUCCCCAAGUGGGGCAGGGCCACCGUCACCCCCCGGGCCAGGCCAGCACAGCGGCAUCUCAGACGGCCCGAGACGCAGGAGACGCGCGGCCAGGUGCAGACACAAGAGCGAGGCCGAGACCAAGGACGCGGGCCCAGGUGUGCCGGACCCUCCUGGGCAGAGCCACCGCGGGGGUCAAGGUUUCCACAAGCCCCAAGGAAGGUCAGCACCGCGGGUGACCGAGGAGUCACCGGGGAGAAGGCCACGGUCACAGACCCCUGCCAACCACGGUGGGAGGUGCAAACGGGCACGGCCUGAGGGAGGGCGCCCUGGAGGCCACAGGCGGGAGGCCGGCCUCACAGAACGCCUGUGGACCUGCCCGCGGGCCCCCCGCCCAGAACCCCAGAAAGCCAAUGCAGAGACGCUCUUAGUGGACAGG
rnacentral:lncRNA from 1 species